UCACUGACCGGCUGCCUCCGGCGCGUCCCCGGGAGGGGGCGGGGCCUGCGCACGAGUCCCGGCGGGACCUCCCGGCUCCUAGGUUGGUGCUCGAACCUCCCUAGGGGGCUCAUCACUUCUUCAGCUGGAAGUCCGUCUCCCCAAUCUCCCAUUCGUCCUUCAAGGUUCAGCUCACAUUCCGCCCCGCAUAACUUUCCUGAUCUCUGUUCCCUCCACACAACUGUAUCUGCAUGAUAUUUUAAUCAUUUGUGCACUUUUUAGUUCACCUCAUACUCCCAGCUCCUUGAUACCGGAGACUUUUUUUCUCAUCUUGGCAUUACUAAAAUGACUCGCACAGUCCUUCGCACCCAAUAAACUCUUGUUAAGUUAAA